rnacentral:lncRNA from 1 species
CUUUUAUGCAGUAGGGCAAGAGAGUGUGUCUAUGCAUGUGUGUGUGUGUGUCUGUCUGUCUGUCUGUCUGCGAGACUGUGUCUGUGUGUUAAGCUUGAGUCUAUUGAGCCCAUUGGAUGGGACUGGGGUUUACAAAGACCAUGGGCACAUAGGAGCUUCCUCAGUAUCACAGGCUUUCACUUUUCUAGUGUUUCGGAUGGUGUCUGGGCAUUCUGAUGCUGCUGCAGGGCUUGGUGAAGAGACAGGUCUCAGGUGAAGUCCAGAUACAGCCGCAGAAAGGAUUCAUCAACCAGAUCGCCAUGACGAUGGCCAUGGUGGGCAUCAGUGUGUCCUUCUACAGCGCCCGGCGGAUGGCGGAGAAGGUCCAUCUAAAAGAGAAUGCUCCCUGAACAGUUGGACAGUGUGGCCCCUCAACUGGACCAGAGAGAUGGGGGAGAGAGAUGAAGAGAACCAGAGUAGGCUGCAGUGCUGCACUCCAUCACCUUGCAUUGCAGCGGUUGGCACCCACUCAAAGCUGCCAUGCCAAGAUGGUUCUGUGGGCUGAGUGUUUGAUGUUGUUGUUCGAGAGAAUGUCUGUGUUUGAUGGAAGAGGAUGGGUAUCAGGAGCGUUUUGUCUUGAGAGUGAGACCAUGCAGUCUUUAUUAAACAACUGCUGGGUUUGAAAUACGUUUAUCUUUGUAUUGUGAUGACGGGAAAAUGGAAGUGUACUGUGGGGAAAUGGAAAUGUGAAUUACCAGUACUAAUGCCCAAUAGAUUAAAAUGACCUAACAACAUUUUUACCUAAAUACAUUUUUGGAUGAUAUGAGGCGAUCUACACAUAUCUGCUUUAUUUGAAAGAUUUCACCAUGUAGGCCUAGCAUACUUACUUAGGCUCCAUACUAGAAUGUCUUUUGAACAUAGCAUGAAUGCACAUCACAAAUGUGGGACCCCAGUAAGCGUUUGGUAUUUGCUUCAGCGCUUUAUCAGUUGAACAUGGAUGCCAUGAUAAUACUGUAGCUCUGUGGUUCUGACAGAAUCGGUGGUCUCCUCAAUGUAUGCCACUUCCAAACUGACUCUUCAUGACAU